CCACAAAACCGCAUCAAACGGUCGGCUCUCUCAAUCUCCAGCUGUCCAGUCAAAGAACAAGGAAUCGAAGAAAGGCAACCGCGUUUGAUUUAAGUGUUUAGAGGUGGUAACACAAUGACUGUGACAGUUCACAACCGGCACGGCAAAAUUCCCAUGCCGCCGUUUGAAUUAACAAGGAAAUGAGUCACUCGUAAUUUCUAAGAACGUUUUUCGUUAUGGCAGACAUCUCAAACUUUCAACUUGACGGUGGAAAGACCUUUGCGUGUCUCUACAUUUUCGUGCAUUUUUGGCUUAAAAACAUAAACCAAAAAGCCGGGGCCUGAAGCAAUUUCCUCCGUGGGAGGUCAAACUUUCUUACAUAAACCCAGCCGUUGUUUAGGCCCUGUUUGUUCCGUUAGAAAACUAUACAAUGUGUUCAUGGCGAACUUAUUGUCGGCUCUGUAAGGAGCCGAUGAAGUCCUUUCCUUCCCAUGAAACGCGAAUCGACUCGUGAUCUUAGAUCUCCGAUCGGCAAAAUCUUAAUUAGCAAACAUUUCCAUUGCUGAUUACCGUCACCUGUGUUCGCUGAUUAGCACUGACUUUUAAGAUAUACCUGAUGAUGUUUCGGUCUCCCCAUGUUCAGUGUUAGCUUUUAUUCGUGAUUGUUUUGUUAUCAGUGGCUUCCUAUGAUGGCUAUUUUUCUCAUAUGAUCGAGAUUUGGGAAAAAAGAGCUGCAUUGUGGAACUCUCCGAGGGUGCUUGAUGAUCUGAUGAUCACGAAAACACAAAAUGCAACAGUUGCGUAAAGCUUCCCAGAGUGAGAACCUUUCAAAGGACCCUGAUGGAGAUCUGCUCGGGCAGGUUUUAAAAGGAAAACGAUUUCUCUUUCGCUAGCAGUUGGGAACUUUUUACUCCGAUUUUACAGCAGAAUGCCACCGGGAGCCCAUUACUCAGAAACUCUAACAAAAAACAAGUUAGCCUGCGUCUUGAAUUGAAGUUCGAAAAUUUUGUGUAUUAAAGAGGAUAUCUAAGUUUUGUAACGAAGC